rnacentral:rRNA from 1 species
GACGAACGCUGGCGGCGUGCUUAACACAUGCAAGUCGAACGGAAAGGCCCCUUCGGGGGUACUCGAGUGGCGAACAGGUGAGUAACACGUGAGUAACCUGCCCUUGACUUCGGGAUAACUUCAGGAAACUGGGGCUAAUACCGGAUAGGAAUCCUUGCCGCAUGGUGGGGGUUGGAAAGCUUCGGCGGUUUUGGAUGGACUCGCGGCUUAUCAGCUUGUUGGUGGGGUAGCGGCUUACCAAGGCUUUGACGGGUAGCCGGCCUGAGAGGGCGACCGGCCACAUUGGGACUGAGAUACGGCCCAGACUCCUACGGGAGGCAGCAGUGGGGAAUAUUGCACAAUGGGCGGAAGCCUGAUGCAGCAACGCCGCGUGCGGGAUGACGGCCUUCGGGUUGUAAACCGCUUUCAGCAGGGGCGAAGCUUGUGGUGACGGUACCUGCAGAAGAAGCACCGGCUAACUACGUG